AUUAGCUAGUUGGUGAGGUAAAGGCUCACCAAGGCGACGAUCCGUAGCUGGUCUGAGAGGAUGAUCAGCCACACUGGGACUGAGACACGGCCCAGACUCCUACGGGAGGCAGCAGUGGGGAAUAUGGGGCAAUGGGCGAAAGCCUGAUCCAGCAACGCCGCGUGAGUGAUGAAGGCCUUAGGGUUGUAAACGGCUAACUCCGUGCCAGCAGCCGCGGUAAUACGGAGGGGGCUAGCGUUGUUCGGAAUUACUGGGCGUAAAGCGCGCGUAGGCGGCUUUGUAAGUCAGAGGUGAAAGCCUGGAGCUCAACUCCAGAACUGCCUUUGAAACUACAUCGCUAUUAUCGUGGAGAGGCAAGUGGAAUUCCGAGUGUAGAGGUGAAAUUCGUAGAUAUACGGAAGAACACCAGUGCCGAAGGCGACUUACUGGACACGUAUUGACGCUGAGGUGCGAAAGCUGGGGAGCAAACAGGAUUAGAUACCCUGGUAGUCCACGCUGUAAACGAUGAUGACUAGCUGUCGGGGCUCAUGGAGUUUCGGUGGCG
rnacentral:rRNA from 1 species